UCGUUGAAACACAAGUUUUCGUACGAUCACCGAAGGUAAGCAACGUCAAGCUUGGUCAGUACAUAGAUGGGUGACCGCUUGGGAAUACCAGAUGCUA